UUUUUUUUUUUUUUUAAAUGGUGCGUCAUUUAGAAGUCCCUGACUAAGGGUAAAAUUGGAGCUGCAGCAAACACCAGACCCCUAACUGAGGGAGGCCAGGGAUUGAACCCGAAUCCCCACGGACAUUAUGUUGGGUUCUUAACCCAAUGAUCCCCCAUGGGCACUCCCUGUUUUAACUAUUUUUAAUCUGACCAGCUGCUUAAUGGGAGAUGAGAGUAGCCAUCAACGGUGAGCCAGGCAUUCUCAGACGAUGUCAUGCACAUCAGGAGCUAAAGAACUUCUUUGACACAAGCUCCUUUUUCUCUUUUUACUCAACAGAGUAAACACGUUCAUGCCUUCACUUACACUUUUCUUCUGCCUUGGAAAUCGGAUAUUCGGCAGUCAUUGUCUCCAUUUCUCUUCCCUCCCCCCCCCCUCCCCGCAUGCUGGGGAAUCCAUCAGCUCAAAACAAAUGGAUUUCUUGAGCCAAUAACUAUUUUCAAAGCCAAGGCAAAAAAGAAACCACUUGAAAGAUAUUCUUAGAGAGGAAAUGUAUAUGUGUAUAUGACUAGGUCAUUGCUGUACAGCCGAAAUUGGCACAACACUGUAAAUCAACUAGACUUUAAAAAGGGUUUUCUAUAUAUAGUAUCAUGUCAUCUGCAUACAGUGACAAUUUUACCUCCUAUCUUCCAGUUUGGAUACUUUUAUUUCUUUUGUUUGUCUUAUUGCUGUGGCUAGGACUUCCAAUUCUAUGUUGAAUAAAAGUGGUGAGAGUGGGCAUUCUUGUCUUGUUAUAGAUUUUAGUGGGAAGGCUUUCAGCUUUUCUCCAUUGAGUAUUAUAUUUUCUGUGGGUUUGUCAUAAAUGGCUUUUAUUAUGCUAGGGUAUGUUCCUUCUAUACCCACUCUGGUAAGAGUUUUUAUCAGGAAUGGAUGUUGGAUUUUCUCAGCUGCUUUUUCUGCAUCUCUUGAGAUGAUCAUGUGAUUUUUUACUUUUCUUUUGUUAAUGUGGUGUAUGAUGUUGAUUGAUUUGCAUAUGUUGAACCAUCCUUAUGAACCUGGGAUGAAUCCCAUUUGGUGGUGGUGUAUGAUUUUUUUAUAUGUUUUUGGAUUCCAGUUGGCUAAAAUUUUGUUGAGAAUUUUUGUGUCUGUAUUCAAAGAUGUUGGCCUACAAUUUUCUUUUUUGGUGGCAUCUUUGUCCGGUUAUGGUAUUAGGGUGAUGGUGGCUUCAUAGCAUGUCUUUGGGAUGUUACUUCUUUUUCAAUCUUUUGGAAAAGUUUAAGAAGGAUGGGUGGGAGAAUUCACAAUUUUUAAAGGUCAUACUCCAUUAAUAGUUAUUAUAAAAUACUGGCUCUAUUCCCAAUGUUGUACAAUAUAUCCUUGUAGCUUAUUUUAUGUAUAAUAGUUUAUACCUCUUAAUUCCCCCUCCCCAUUGGUAACCACUAAUUUGUUCUCUAUAUCUGUGAGUCUGCUCCUUUUUUGUUUAUUCACUAGUUUGUUGUCUCUUUAAGAUUUCACAUAUAAGUGAUACCAUACAAUAUUUGUCUUUUUCUGCAUGAUUUAUUUCACUUAUCAUAAUGCCCUCCAAGUCUAUCUGUAUUACUGCAAAUGGCAUCAUUUCAUUCUUUUUCAUGCCCAAGUAUUAUUCCAUGGUAUAUAUGUAUCACACCUUCUUUAUCCAUUCAUCUGUGACUGGACACUUAAGUUGUUUCCCUAUCUUGGCAAUUGUAAAUAAUGCUGCUAUGAACAUUGGGGUACCUGUAUCUUUUCAAAUCAGUCACUUUUUAAAAUAUAUGCUAUGGAGAGGAAUUGCUGGGUUAUAUGGUACUUAUAUUUUUAGUUUUUCGAGAACCUUCCAUAUUGUUUUCCCCAGUGGCUGCCUCAGUUUACAUUCCCACCUGCAGUCUAUGAGGGUUUGGGUGCAUUUCUUUUCUUCACCUAGUGGCAGAGGGUUUUUGCUUUCUACUCAAGAAUCCAAGGUGUGCAUGUGUUCUCUGCCUGUCACCCAACAGCAUCUGUUCUCCACCUAUGUCCAGGAACAUUCUGGAACAUGAGUCAGCUACUCCAGGUCCUCCUUUUCCAUUCUUAACCUCUGGUAUGAACCAUCAAGCAGGUGUCCCAGGCACCCUGACACCUCCGCAGUCUUUUUCAUGAGAACCAGAUGGAUGCCUGUGAGAAAGGGAUGAUCAGUGCAUGUAAACUUCCCUGUAUUUGGGUCUCCAAGGAUUUCUUAGGUAUACUCUUAUUCCACAGCUGGCCUUUAAGAAUCAUACUUCUGGGAAUUCCCAUUGUGGGGAAGUGGAAAUGAACCUGAUUAGUAUCCACAAGGACAUGAGUUCAAUCCCUGGCCUCGUUCAGUGGGUUAAGGAUCUGGCACUGCCGUGAGCUGUGGUGUAGGUUGCAGUCGCAGCUUGGAUCCUCAGUUGCUGUGGCUGUGGCCAGCAACUGCCGCUCUGUUUUGACUCCUAGUCUGGAAACUUCCAUAUGCUGUAUCUGCAGCCCUAAAAAAAAAAAAAAA
rnacentral:lncRNA from 1 species